GAAGUGGUGGUGCAGUGGAUAGCACUGCUAACUCAAAAAUUGUAGGCUGCCGGUUCAAGUCCAGCUAAAAUAA